rnacentral:rRNA from 1 species
GACGAACGCUGGCGGCGUGCCUAAUACAUGCAAGUCGAGCGGACCGGAUUGGGGCUUGCCUUGAUUCGGUCAGCGGCGGACGGGUGAGUAACACGUGGGCAACCUGCCCGCAAGACCGGGAUAACUCCGGGAAACCGGAGCUAAUACCGGAUAACACCGAAGACCGCAUGGUCUUCGGUUGAAAGGCGGCCUUUGGGCUGUCACUUGCGGAUGGGCCCGCGGCGCAUUAGCUAGUUGGUGAGGUAACGGCUCACCAAGGCGACGAUGCGUAGCCGGCCUGAGAGGGUGACCGGCCACACUGGGACGGAGACACGGCCCAGACGCCUACGAGAGGCAGCAGUAGGGAAUCUUCCGCAAUGGGCGAAAGCCUGACGGAGCGACGCCGCGUGAGCGAAGAAGGCCUUCGGGUCGUAAAGCUCUGUUGUGAGGGACGAAGGAGCGUCGUUCGAAGAGGGCGGCGCGGUGACGGUACCUCACGAGAAAGCCCCGGCUAACUACGUG